rnacentral:lncRNA from 1 species
CGUUGAGUUGUCAUGAAUCAUCGCAGCAACGAGCAGAGCCCGCGUCGACCUUUUAUCUAAUAAAUGCAUCCCUUCCAGAAGUCCGGGUUUGUUGCAUGUAUUAGCUCUAGAAUUGCUACGGUUAUUGGAGUAGUAGAUGCCAUCAAACAAACUAUAACUUAUUUAAUGAGCCAUUUGCAGUUUCACAGUCUGAAUUUGUUCAUACUUACACAUGCAUGGCUUAAUCUUUGAGACAAGCAUAUGACUACUGGAAGGAUCAACCAGGUAGCAUUCCUCAUUGACGCCGGCAUUGCAUGAGCAUGGCCGACCCAAAGGGCACCGCCAAGUCCAAGACGAGCACGACCGUCAUUCGUAAGGAGCGUUCUUUGGGUAGAUAGGAGCCAAUGAAGACCCCAUGCCCAUUGCGUUUACCGAAUCCGAGAGUCCGAGCAUACUAGUCAGGGACCAAGCCAUUGCAAGGCGAAGUGAGGAUGACCUGGGACACAACUACAGCUUUUGGUUCACCCCGCACGUCGAAUGCGAGGGGUGAAAGGCGACCAACUGUGCUUGAUAAUGCCUUGGUAUUAGGUAUGCAAGCUGAGCAAGCCUAAUUUGCGCUUGUGCCAUGACUGAGAUGGCAUGCGGGCUAGGACGUCACUGCUCAAGCAGGGAUCCAACAUAGCCACACAAACCGAACACCACUCAUGUGCCGCACGUACACUUGCCUCGCCGAUACAAGACAACAAUAGCCCCAACACGCGACGCGUAGCCAUGUGUUGUUGCUGAUGCCAACAUUGGAAAGCCAAGCCAAGCCCCGCAAAGCACGAAUAGGAGGUUGGAGCAAUGCCAAACACAACCCACAACCAUGGAAGGCAAUCGGCAAUUUACUAAGCUUUGCCCCAUGCGCAUGGUACCUUGCGGCGCUACUUGCAUGAUGCUUUGCCGUUCUAUUUCCAAAAGCCAUCAGCCGCCACGAGCUAUGUCGCCUCCCUAUGUUUCCCACAACAACCGAUGGCAAUCGGCAACUUACUAAGCUUUUCCCCAUGCACACGACACCUUGCGGCGCUACUUGCACGACGCUUUGCCGUUCCAUUGCCAAAAGCCAUCAGCUACCCCGAGCGGUUCCAGACACAACCCACAACANNNNNNNNNNNNNNNNNNNNNNNNNCAAGCCUGCGAGCAUAAAAAAAGGCGAAAAUUCCUUGACAUACUCUGCCACCGUGCCACUUUGUUUCAAGUGGCGCAGUCCAUCUCGUGCAAUCCAUGACGAGUUAGUUGGAAGGAAUUGGGAUUUUCAUUCCUUCUUCAGCAUCUACCAAGUUUCGAUCUUGGGCAGUCCAGCACUUUCCACCUCUGCCACUUGUGUACGCCACCACACCUUUGCAUCAUCAGUCAAAUACAUUGGUGUGAUCGUCACCUUUUUAUCAUCCUGCACAUGGGCAGCCUGGAAAUACUGCUCCAUAUCCCACAAGAAAUUUUCCAGUUCUUUGGCACUUCUUGCACCCCCAUAUGCCUUUGGUUCCGGAAUCCUCAAUUUCGUGCGUUCAUCACGUCUAAGGACAACAGUUUGCAAUUCCCUUCGAAGUUGAACCACUUCCUCACGCAGUUCUUCUCUUGGCAUACCAAGGCCAUUUCUGCCAGCGUUGUCUCAUGUCUCGCUGCAUAAUCUACCUCCAAACGUGCCAUUCUCGCAAGAAUAGAAGAAUUGCCAUUCACUUAGAGAGCCUUCCCAAUGAGUGCUUCCAACUGCUCUAUCAUUUGACGCAGUUCCGCAUUUAUGCCACCAGCCAUGUUCUCAAAUAGCCCAACGAAAUCUGCCACCGAUCGUCUUGCCACUGCCACGAACCUGCUCCGCUCUGAUACCAAUUGUCACGGGGCAUUUUUGGUCAGUCCAAAGUCACACCCACACGACAGUCAAGUCACGCACAUGACUCAGCCUUCCCCAAACACUUAGCCAAUUUUCAGCAAGUUUGGAUUAAAUGAAAUUUUGGCAGCAAUUCAAUAAGAACAAUAGCAAAUAUGGGAAAAUCCCAACCUUUGCAUUAAUAUGGAAAAUAUACAAAGGACCCCUCACUUUGCUAUGAACACAGUCCGCUAACAGCCCACUUUUGACGAAGAACACAAGUCUUUCUUGGCCAACACUAAGACCUGCCCAAGCCUAGCCUUAGUCCCUUCUUGAAACACUUGAAACACUCACGUUUCACUCUUGUUUCCCACUUGUAAUUUCACACGAAAUUACCCACCACCUUCUGCCUAAGUCACAAAGUCCCUAUUUAUAGAAUAUAGGCAGCCCUUAGACUUGACAGCACAUGACACUUGUCGUCUACACCUUUUGCCACUUGUCGGGCUAAGAGUAAAUCUGUUCCUAACAUAUAGUUGACAUACCCAACUACUUAGGACACAAUAUACACGAAAUGGUAUCAUUAUACAAGCAUAAUCAGAUCAUGGGACAAAGGGGUUAUGACAAGGUAACCGCCAACUACUUUUCAUGUGCAUUACAUGUGCCAUCUUCACUUGGCCAGCUGAUUCACGCCCAACGCUGGCAUUGCACCCAGCCUUGGCUCAUCUUGACAUUGCUCCAAGCCAAUGCCUUGCCCGCAAUCUGCUACCCAUGAUUUUGCUGCACAUGCCUGACGUUGCUGCCGCUCGCACACUACCUUGGUCGAGUUUCUGCCUUGCCCAUGUCAACCUUCAUUUCCCUCGUGCCAUUGCUUGUAUUUUCCUUCACAUAGCUUUGCCUUAGUUUUUUAAAGCCUUUGCCAUCGUCCCGCAUUUCCGUCUUGUCUUAGUUUAGCCCGUCCUUAGCUACCACAACCCAAAGUGUCGUGCCACUGACUUUGGAGCACAUGCCAUGCCAUGCCGCCCUAAUAUUGCCCACCCAGCUUUGUUAAGCUUUUUCCAAGCACGACUUGCCUGUCCCAAGGCCUUGGCCAAUACUUUCCCACAACAACCCUCAAUCCAAUGUCUUGUCCGUCAUCCACAUGAUCGUUUUGCCCGCACAUAGGCUAAUGAAAAGGCCAUCAUGCCUAAAUCCUUGCCACAAACGUACCACGUUCGAUGACAAAGAGUCAGGCCUUAACACCUGCCAUUUCCUGACUCAUGCCACGUGCCAUGGCCAUGUCCUGCCAUGUACUGACAUGUCCUGACACGUGCCAUGACCAUGUCCUGUGACGUCCUGGCACGUGCCAUGGCCAUGUCCUGCGACGUCCUGACACGAACGGACCCGUGCCAUGGCCAUGUCCUGCCAUGUUCUGCGACGUCCUGACACGUCCUGCGAUGUCCUGACACGUGCCAUGGCCAUGUCCUGCGACGUCCUAAAACGUUCUGCGUCGUGCCAUGGCCACGCCCUACCAUGUCCUAUGACGUCCUGACAUGUCCUGCGCCUUGACAUGGCCACGCCCUGCCAUGUCUUACGAUUCCCUGCCAUGGCCACACCGUCAUAGUCCUUGGACUCUCAAGCGACACCCCAAAAAACCUCUACUUGCGACAUAGAAUUGGCACAUUGCUCUUGGCUUGUGCCUUGGCCUCGCACCGCGAUGCCUCAAAAAACCUCUACUUGACAACUUGUAUUAGCACAUCACCCUUGGCUUAGGCCUCAGCCUCGCAAGCGACACACCGAAAAACCUCUACUUGCGGCAUUAUAUUGGCACAUUUCCCUUGGCAUAGGCCUCGGCCUUGAAAGCGACACACCGAAAACCUCUAGUAGUGAAAUUUGGUUUAACCUUUCGCUCGACAUGACUAAGUGUCAAGUCACAUUGGCUACUUAAUACAGAAAUAGUAUACGUUCCAAGGUCUUGAGGACUUGUUCGAUUUUCCAACACUUAGUAUAAUAUAGCAUCAAGGGAGGAGUAAACCUCUUUUCGGAAAAGUUUGAAACUGAUUGGAUUGGAGGGAGAGGGACGAAUCGGAGCGACAAAGGGCUGAAUCUCAGUGGAUCAUGGCAGAAAGGCCACUCUGCCACUUACAAUACCUCAUCGCGUAUUUAAGUCAUCUGCAAAGGAUUAUACCCGCCACUUGAUGGAAAUUGUACUUCAAGGCGGCCACUGCGGCUAUUCCACUGCGAUGACUUAGCCAACGACAUGUGCCCUUGGGGGCCAAAGGCCCCUACUGCGGGCCGAAAAACGGACAGCGGGCGCAUGCAUCGCUUCUAGCCCGAAUUCUGACUUAGAGGCGUUCAGUCAUAAUCUAGCGCACGAUAGCUUCCCGCCACUGGCUUUUUAACUAAGCGUGAUGACCAAUUGUGCAAAUCAACGGUUCCUCUCGUACUAGGUUGAAUUACUAUUGCGACACUAUCAUCAAUAGGGUAAAACUAACCUGUCUCACGACGGUCUAAACCCAGCUCACGUUCCCUAUUGGUAGGUGAACAAUCCAACACUUGGUGAAUUCUACUUCACAAUGAUAGGAAGAGCCAACAUCGAAGGAUCAAAAAGCAACGUCGCUAUGAAUACUUGGCUGCCACAAGCUAGUUAUCCUUGUGGUAACUUUUCUGACACCUCUAGCUUCGAAUUUCGAAAGUCUAAAGGAUCGUUAGGCCACGCUUUCACGGUUCGUAUUCGUACUGGAAAUAAGAAUCAAACGAGCUUUUACCUUUCUAUUCCACACGAAAUUUCUGUUCUCAUUGAGCUCAUCUUAGGACACCUGCGUUAUCUUUAAACAGAUGUGCCGCCCCAGCCAAGCUCCCCACCAGAUAAUGUAUUCCACCCGGAUUGGCUUGCAAGCAAGCCUUGGGUCUAAAACGAGGGGUAGUGCCCCGCUUCCGAUUCACGGAAUAAGUAAAAUAUCGUUAAAAGUAGUGGUAUUUCACUUUCUCCUUUCGGCUCCAACUUAUACUACACCUCUCAAGUCAUUUCACAAAGUCGGACUAGAGUCAAGCUCAACAGGGUCUUCUUUCCCUGCUGAUUCUGCCAAGCCCAUUCCCUUGGCUUUGGUUUCACUGGAUAGUAGAUAGGGACAGUGGAAAUCUCGUUAAUCCAUUCAUGCGCGUCACUAAUUAGAUGACGAGGCAUUUGGCUACAUUAAGA